rnacentral:rRNA from 1 species
UAGUCCACGCCGUAAACGAUGGAUACUAGCUGUUGGAGCUUCGGCUUCGGUGGCGCAGCAAACGCAUUAAGUAUCCCGCCUGGGGAGUACGAUCGCAAGGUUGAAACUCAAAGGAAUUGACGGGGGCCCGCACAAGCGGUGGAGCAUGUGGUUUAAUUCGAUGCAACGCGAAGAACCUUACCUGGGCUUGAACUGUUAAUGAUCGUGCCAGAGAUGGCAUUUUCCUUCGGGACAUUAUCAGAGGUGCUGCAUGGCUGUCGUCAGCUCGUGUCGUGAGAUGUUCGGUUAAGUCCGGCAACGAGCGCAACCCACAUCCCUAGUUGCCAGCAGUUCGGGGACUCUAACGAGACUGCCCGCGUAAGCGGAGAGGAAGGUGGGGACGACGUCAAAUCAUCAUGGCCUUUAUGCCUAGGGCUACACACGUGCUACAAUGGCAGGUACAGAGGGUUGCGAAGGGGUGACCUGGAGCUAAUCUCAGAAAGCCUGUCCC